UUAAUUGAAACCAAAAAAGAGGUAAGUUACUGUUAAUGACUAUAUUGUGUUGAUAAACACCAAUUAAA
rnacentral:tRNA from 1 species